AUCUAUUGGUAUUUCAUAUGGAUGCACUAUAUUCCUUCUUGUUUUUAACAGAGAUACAAAGCCAGAAAUUUCAUAGACAAGGAUUGUUCAAUUAGCCCUACUACUACUUGACAUACAAGGGAUUGAAUAUGAGAAUAUGUAAAAACAUGUUCA